rfam:Triticum aestivum genome assembly, contig: Triticum_aestivum_CS42_TGACv1_scaffold_306506_4AS
UAAAUACUCCCUCCGUCCAGAAAUACUUGUCGGAGGAAUGAUUGUAUCUAGAACUAAAAUACAUCUAGAUACAUCCAUUUCUCCGACAAAUAUUUCCGGACAGAGGAAGUAUUUA